UACAGAGGGUGCAAGCGUUGUUCGGAAUUAUUGGGCGUAAAGCGCACGUAGGCGGCUUUGUAAGUUAGAGGUGAAAGCCCAGGGCUUAACCCUGGAAUUGCCUUUAAGACUGCAUCGCUAGAAUCGUGGAGAGGUAAGUGGAAUUCCGAGUGUAGAGGUGAAAUUCGUAGAUAUUCGCAAGAACACCAGUGGCGAAGGCGGCUCACUGGCCCGAUACUGACGCUGAGGCACGAAAGCGUGGGGAGCAAACAGG
rnacentral:rRNA from 1 species